rnacentral:tRNA from 1 species
GCCUGGCUGGCUCAGUUGGUAGAGCAUGUGACUCUUGAUCUCAGGGUUGUGAGUUUGAGGUCCACACUGGGUA